GCCUUAGUAGUAUAUUUAUUACCUCGGUCUUGUAAACCAAAAAUGAAGAACUAUUCCUUCCUAGGGCA
rnacentral:tRNA from 1 species